rnacentral:lncRNA from 1 species
AUUGUCAACAUCACAAACUGGCUGAACUUAGAAGUCUUUACAAAUUGCAAGCACGGAAGCAACAACCUCUUAAACAGAGUUCCUACAUACUGCAAGCAUUGAAAGCAACGACUUCCAAACAAAGUUCCUACAAACUGCAAGCACAUAAGCAAAGGUCCGCAUAAGCCGGCAAAAACAGGAGGUUAGUUCAAAAUGAACUAAAUCUGAGCAUGGCGAUUACAACUAACCUUAUCAAUUUUGACUACGGAACAACUUCCUAAACGAAGUUCCAUACGCAAAUACUCCCUCCGUUUUUAUUUACUCUGCAUAUUAGAGUUGACUGAAGUCAAACUUUGUAAAGUUUGACCAAGUUUAUAGACAACAAUAUAGACAUUUAUUAUAAUAAAUCUAUACGAUGUGAAAGUACAUCUACUAAUAAAUCUAAUGUUGUUGAUUUGUUAUUGUAUAUCUUUAUAUUUUUGUUCAUAAACUUGGUCAAACUUUGUAAAGCUUGACUUUGACCAAAGCUAAUAUGCGAACUAAAUAAAAACGGAGGGAGUACUAAGACUGGCAGCAUUGGUCCUACCUUAACCCGGCCUAUACAAAGUUACUACAGAACAACUACUUCCUACAGAUGCAGAGCCGCACUCACUUGUGCAAUAUCUAACAGCCACCACAGCCAGCUUCCCCUUGAUCCAGAAGCGCAUGCUCCAGCAACUACAGCUUGGCAAACACUUGAACACCAGCUCACUGCCCCUGGACCGUAGAAGCUGCUUCCAUUG